ACGAACGCUGGCGGCAGGCUUAACACAUGCAAGUCGAACGCCCCGCAAGGGGAGUGGCAGACGUGUGAGUAACGCGUGGGAAUCUACCGUACCCUACGGAAUAACGCAUGGAAACGUGUGCUAAUACCGUAUACGCCCUUUGGGGGAAAGAUUUAUCGGGUUAUGAUGAGCCCGCGUUGGAUUAUCUAGUUGGUGGGGUAAAGGCCUACCAAGGCGACGAUCCAUAGCUGGUCUGAGAGGAUGAUCAGCCACAUUGGGACUGAGACACGGCCCAAACUCCUACGGGAGGCAGCAGUGGGGAAUAUUGGACAAUGGGCGCAAGCCUGAUCCAGCCAUGCCGCGUGAGUGAUGAAGGCUCUAGGGUUGUAAAGCUCUUUCACCGGUGAAGAUAAUGACGGUAACCGGAGAAGAAGCCCCGGCUAACUUCGU
rnacentral:rRNA from 1 species